rnacentral:rRNA from 1 species
UACGUAGGGUGCAAGCGUUGUCCGGAAUUAUUGGGCGUAAAGAGCUCGUAGGCGGUCUGUCGCGUCGGCUGUGAAAUCCCGGAGCUCAACUCCGGGUCUGCAGUCGAUACGGGCAAACUGGAGUACUGCAGGGGAGACUGGAAUUCCUGGUGUAGCGGUGAAAUGCGCAGAUAUCAGGAGGGACACCGGUGGCGAAGGCGGGCCUCUGGGCCGAUACUGACGCUGAGGAGCGAAAGCGUGGGGAGCGAACAGG